GUAGGAAGAGUUGAUUGGAACCUGGUAAAUCCAUUUCUGUGAUGAAAGGUCUCUCUUUCCUUCAUUGAGACCGUCCAGGGUCACUGGACCAAGAACACCAGCAUUCCAUGUCUCAAAGUGGUUGCCAAUAUUCUGAAACAGAUAAAGAACAGGAAUACGGAGUCUAAACAUCCAUCUUGUGUGUGUAUAAUUGUAUAGGGUUAUUGGUAUGAUAUUUCAACUUUUGGAUCAAUGGCCAGGAAAUAUUUCGCAACAAAGAAUGUACUCACAGGAAGACCAACAGCGACACUUAGAAUCGAGAUUUUGUUGCUUCCUGCCCACAACUUCACAUUUCCUGUGAAUCUUAUCUUUGGAUUGUCCAAACUACCAUAGACAGUCCCUGCCAGAAGAAAAGAUAAGCAAAAAACAAAUCGGAACCUCACCAAACGUCGAGCAUAUCAUCAAGAAACAAUUCUUCACAAGGCAAAGCCACUCACCGGCCAGUUCUCCAUUGAUGAAAACAUGCAUAGAAUGACCUGCCGACAUCACAGUUAGGAAAGGGUAUCGACCAUUCUUCAAGAAUUGCUCAUUUGAGUCUAUGUUAACACUGAAGAGUGGAGAUCGUGAGUCAUUGAGUGAUAGAGGUCAUUGAUUCUGUCUCAAAUAGAGAAGCUGCAAAGGAACGUCUACUCACUAUGUAGUGUACCACAGGUAGUCUGUCCGAUCCCAUGUCAUGCUUAUCUGCUCCACCAAUCCAUCUUUUGAGAAUGAUUUAUCCCUCAGUGAGUGGGUAUCCUCACUGAAGGACUCCCAAGAAAAUCCGCCAACCCAAGUCAUAUUAAUCUGCGACGUCGGAGCUCCUACCUGUGUUUAUCAUUAGCAUCUUUGUGUUUAAGACAGUCAUGAAAAUUCAACCAUGGAAGUCCUAUUCCAUCCAAGAAAAUUUGGAAUACAUAGCGAGAGAUACAUUUUCCUGAGCCAAGAAACAAACAACUCAACGGAGAGGUGAGUUUUAUGAGUAUAGGAAUAGAAUGCAACCGUGACCAUUAAUCAUCAAAGAUUUCUCACCUUUGCAGUGUUGAACACUGCGGUUUUGCAGUCUGGAAGAAUGCUGACGGACCAAGCUGGAAUAUGAUACUUCAUUCCGUUGAAAGUAACAGGUGCAUAAGAACGGGAGUUGAAAUUAGAAAGGAAUGCAGCACAAGCGCCUGACUUCGAUCUGUAUACAUGCGCCUGCAAGAAGUCGAACGUAGAAAAGUUCCAAAAUGCCAAAUCAUCGAAAAUAUUCUUGCAAAUUUUACAGCAAGAUAUAAGAAUUGAACCUCCUGAUAUUUUCCGAGAUUUGUCACUGUGGGAUCCCCAGAGACGAGAGCUGGUUCACACGAUUUGAUUGCUUUAUGCAGGUCUGUCAGAUGUCCCCAUUUCGGUUGCCUUAACAGACCUGAGAAAGAUUACAAUAUGUUUAUCACCAGAUAGAGGGAAUGGUAAUAGUCGGCAUCAAAUAGAUUUGUAUUGCAUCAUCAGAUGCUUGACCAAUGAGACUGCACAGUGUCUUCUUCGUAGAAGAGGAACAAGAUUUUAGCACCAAAAAGAAGACAUAGGAAAAGCAUAAGCAAACUGAGUGGGAACUGUAUUACCUCUAAUCUUCUCUUAAUCUUGAAAGAACCCAAGUAUUUGACCUAAAUAAUUCUUUGUGUGUGGUAGAUGAUCAAGCCAACCAUUCAUGCCCUUUUCCCCCACCCACGGACAAACUUCUAAACAAGAUGUUUGAUAUAAUGUUUAUGUAUGUUUGUAUCUUUUGACAUGUUCGCACAACAUAUAGAGGGACGAUCGAAUACUUAAUUACCCCAUUUCAGUUAGGUUUGGUGGUCGCUUUUGGCUUAUAAAUAAAAAUUAUAUUAUGUGGACACUUGCGAGAGAUAUUCGAUCUGUAUUGGACCAUUUUGACCCUUUGUUGUGCAACCAUUCAGAACUUGUAAAGUCAUGUUGAUAAUUUGCAUUGGUUAUGAGGUGUUUUUUGGAAUGUUUGUUUAUGGAUUCCGAGUGAGGCAUUUUCUCUAACUCGUUUUCUCUUUUGUAGGUCCUAAGAGACCAUGGGAGGUUUCGGAAAGACUGACCUUUACGGACGGACACACAAGGGUAUUGCACAACUUUGGCAAAGCCAACUAACCUCAUUUUAGUUAGGUUUGGUGGCCGUUUUAGGCUUAUAAAUAAAAAUUGUAUUAUGUGGACACUUGCGAGAGAUAUUCGGUCUGUAUUGGAUCAUUUUGACUCUUUGUUGUGCAACCGUUCAAAACUUGUAAAGUCUGUUGAUAAUUUGCAUUGGCUAUGAGGUGUUUUUUGGAAUGUUUGCUGAUGGAUUCUGAGUGAGGCGUUUUCUCUAACCCAUUUUCUCUUUUGUAGGUCUUAAGAGACCAUGAGAGGUUUUGGAGAGGCUGACUUUUGCGAACGGAUAUGCAAGAGUACCGCACGACUUAAACAAAACCAACUAAAUCCAUCAUCAAAAGCAUGACCUCCAACGGGGCGAAUUCAUAAGAAGUCACAAGUUAGACCAAAACCAUAUCAUUACAACGUGAAAAUUAUUACAAAUGUUAGAAAAAUGGCAUACCGUAUUCAUCGAUUGGGGCAUCAUAGUCAUAGCUGGUCGCAAUAAAAGGACCACCAGCCGUCCUACCGAAGUUGGUUCCUCCAUGGUACUGCAGUUGACGUAAACAUGCAAAUUCGUUUACUUCAACAUGAUGGACAGCAAUCAGUAAUUACUGAAACAACUGAGGUAGAACAUACAAUUUCUUACCAUAUAGUAGUUAACGAAGGAACCACCUUUCGCUAUAAACCUUGCGACAGCAAAAGCCAUGUCCUGAACAGGCCGGUGAGGAACUGGACCCCCGAAACCAGUGAACCUAUUAACAUAGAAUACAUAGAAUAAAUUCACUGGAUAGAUUAAUUUCUUGUGAAAAUUUAUAUGAAUUCAAAUGUGAAGAAGUAGCGGUUACCAGCCAGUCCAAGCUUCAGUCCACAUGGUCGGUUUAUAAGGCUUGUUUGGUGAGAAGUAAUCGCAGUAGAACCCAUUGCAGGCAUUGAUCUUUAAAGACAAAAGCCCAAAAAAAGAGAUCACAAUAAGUCACCCAAGCUGGUCUAACAUGCAACUACAAACCCUCUAAUUAGGGCAGCUGGAAUUUAAGUAGAUAAAAGUCAUGUUGGACUUGACAAGGUAGAGAAGGAACAUGAACUUGGGGUUCUUCCUGAUGUGGUAGAACAAGAAAACCGAAAGCUUGGACUUACCACUGGAUCAGGUGCAUCAUCUUGCUUGCACAUGACCCACGGCACACCGGUGUUGAGACCCACUGCCAUUUGAGCAGCCCAGCUUAGGUAGUUCUUGGCUGCAGCGCCGUCAUAGUACUCCUGUAUACUAUAUUCGUUUUCAAUCUGCUCAAGUUAGACAAAGAGCAUGGAAGAACAGAAAGCGAAUUAGAUGAGAUCUUUGGGAGCUGAUCAACUCGAUGACACAUAAAAGCUAACGAAUUGAUGAAAGCAAAGAAGGAAUGGAUUCGAUGAUACCUGAGAGAGGAUAAUGGGACCACCCUGUGAUUCAAAUAAUCCUUCAGACUUCAUCAUGGCGACAAUCUUCUCUGUGAACUUCGCCAUGGCCGCCUUUUACAUGAAUAGACCAAUUAGCAAUUGCUCGGUUAGAGGAGAUCGAGUAUAAACAUGUAAAGAGAAGUUCCUGUGGAUUCUUACCUUGAAAGGUCCAUUGUCGCUCCUGAAAGUGAUGCCAGGAACAUAUUUUAACCAGACAGGAAAUCCCCUGUUUUACAAAGACAAGAUGAACAACAGAACAGCAUCAUCAGAUUGCAUGAUUAGGCUUUUGAUUCCACAUAGAAGAAUUAAUUGAAGACCUCGACCUCGUACCCAAAGUUCCAUUCGGCACAAACAUAAGGACCAAUCCGGAGAUGAACAUAGAGGCCGGCCUGCUUCACCAGCUUGAUGAAGCGAACCAGGUCGUAAUUACCACCAAAAUAAUACUGCCAAAGAUCAAGAAAAGCAACAAAUUGAGGCACACUAUGGGAAGGAGCAGUAGCCUUAGACGAGAGGGCUGGGAAAGGUUGGGUGAUCUCCGAACCUGGCCAGGGGACGGCUCGUGGCCGUUCCAGAACACAUAGGUCUGGAUAACAUCCAAGCCGCCAUCUUUAGCCUUCUGGAUGAGAUCCGGCCACAUCUGGAGACGAUCCAAUCGACAAAGUUCAGGUUUUGACGCGGUAGAAUAACAGUGCACGAACAGCUCACCAAAAAGGCCACAUUUCCCACAGAAUUGGAGACCUUACCUCCGGGGUGCUCCUGGGAUAGUGAAUGGAACCGGAGAUUAGAAUCCUCCUCUGCCCAUUGACGAUGAUAGCCUUGUGGUCGUAGGAAACGGAGGCAUCGACCGGAGAGGAAUGCCACGGAGACGACACCACCACCAACGCCACCGCCAGUAGCAGCAGCGUCGACAGUCCGCGGCCGCACCCAAGCGUUAUAAGCUCGAGGCUCAUGGUGGCCGGUCGGUCUUACCUUCAGAGGAGUCUCCUUUAGUGUUCUGGAUGUAUAAUAUGUGAAUGAUGGAGAUUCGUGCGCGCUGUUCUUCCGUCUUCUCCUCCGCUAGAGAAGUUCCGACGGAACUAUUGAGCAGUAGCGUUACUGCAACAAGCACACACCGAGGAAGAGAGAGGGAGAUCAAAGAGGAGGGAGGGAAGAGGGCGGACGUGGAGUGGGAGCGCGGGGGCGGGGAGGACGGGGGAGGGCGAUGUGCCUCUUGCGGUAUAAAUACCCGACGGGCGCAAGCGAGCACAGGAUUGGCGCUGGAAUACGCGGGUCCCAAAGCGCCAGCCACGUCAACGUUUUCUUCCAUUCCCCCUGAACAGGAAAAAAUCAAAUGGACCGAAGCGUGGGGCCAUCUGCUUGUAAGAAAGUGGACCAAUUAAGAUAAAGCUUUGAUAGUUGGCAAGGAUCGACAGAGUCAAAAUAUUUUGUUAAAAUUAUUAUUUGAGAAAAUUAGGACAGAUAGGUUAUGUGGAAUAAUAUUAGAAACUAAUAAUAUUAGUUUAGUUUUGUAAGAAAAUUUUAUGUUGAUGAUAUUUUUUAGUUGUCUAAUAUAUCGAUAUACAUUAUGAUAGUAAGCGAGUUAGAUAACAUAUCCAUAACCAUGAUAUAAAUAUUUUUUUAUAAAAUUACAUAUACAUGAUAUACCUAAAGGGUUUGAUGAGAUAUAUCAUAUUAUUAUUUUAUUAUGUGAAUAACAAUUUUUUUAUAUGUUAAUUUAGUUUCACAUAAGAAAUGUAUAAAGAUUUAGAUAAGAGUAUGAUAAUUGUACCAUUCUUAUCGUGAGUUUAGAGGGAUUUAACUCAAAGUAUCUCUCUCAGACGAAGAUUAUAUAUGUGGCAGAUAAGGCUAAGCCAGAUAGGAGAGAAAGGUAUGUUUUUAAAUAAAUAAAGCUUUUUAAGCAAUGGAAUAUUGUCAAAAUUAAAAUAAUAUGAAUACUAUAUUUUUGAAAAGCAAAUAAAGUUUCUUGAGUUGUAAUGAUAUCCAUUUUAAGCAAAUAUAAUUGCUGCAUUAUAUUUUUAAUGUCGAUGCCAAUAUUUAUAGUCACUGAUUAAAACAUGCCACAUAUAAUAUUUUCUUUCAAUACCAGAAAGAUAUUUAUAGUAUGAAUGAAAGGAUAAAUUUAGCUGAAUAUGGAACAUGAUGAACCAUAUCAUAACCAAUCCUCAAUUGAACUAAAACUUAAUCCUUACAGAAAUAGUUUGUAAUCAUCCUAAACUGGUCUAAAUAGAUUUCUAUUUUAGAUUAAACUGGCCUAGACAGUGCCUGACCCAGUCUGAUCCUUGAUAAGUGGUCAAGCCAAGCUACUGAAAUGUUGACCUCUGUGUUUGUAACUCAUGAUGAAAUUCUAAGUGACAUUAACAGUUUCUUCUUUAUAGUUGAUAAAUCAUUGUCAUCUCUUUCUAAAAAUAAAAAUAAAAAAAGCUGGGAAUAAAAAUAUCUAUAACAAUGCCUUUUUCCUGGCACCAGAUUGUAUCUUUACCACUAAUUUCUUGUUUCUUGCACUGUUGCACAUGAUCAUCAUGCAUCUUGUUAGACAUCUCAAGUGGUUGCCACAUAGUUCAGAGCUCAGAAGCACAGCCACACAAUUGCAUCAGGAAUCAAAAUGCUUAUAAGCUUUGCAGAAGCAAUGGAAAAGGCAAAGGAUGAUAACUUAAUAUGGAUCAAAAUGCUUAUAAGCUUAAGUAGUACAGAAGCAAAAGCUUAGCUCUUGCAAUUACAAGACCGACCAACCAUUUUGUGUAAACAUGCUAUCCCAAUUGCUAAUAUUAUGUCCACACAUGGACUCAAUAUAUGCAGAAUCCCACGUGCAGUAAGUAAUAUGUUGAGUGCAUCCAAUAUUUUCUAUGCACAUUUACUCACGUAACCAGGCAAUACCUUAAAGUGGGUGUGCAGUUCCUGCAUCUCCACCAAUCACUACUCCACGACUUUGGUUUGUAUAAAUUGACUUUAGUUCAUUUUCUUUACUUGGUCUACCAUCUGUGGUUAUCAUCUGCAGAUGGUUUUGACAGCAAGCUUCUUCAUAGUGCUACUCUUUUCACCAUUGAAAUCCCAGUUGGAUCACCACCCCACUCUUCAAACACAACCAACAAGUUUCCAGUUGGGUUCAGCCAAGCGCGAGGAACAUGAUACCUGAGAUUUGAGGUCAGUAAUCAGUCAUUUAUUCGAUUUUUUCGCAAGCUUAAUGGGGUGGAAAAAAAGGCAGGUGUUUCAUUACCAUUUUUGAGAAGGCUCCCCACAAUUAGUCUGGCAUUUCUUCUCGUUGUAUGUCCCUCUGUAAUCGCACCAAUCACAAGAACCAUAUGCCUUAUAGGCAGGCCAGUAUCUGCCAAUGCUUUGUCCAUUGAUCCAUAUCUGACCUUUGCCCAUGCUACUCAUGUCUAAUGCCAAUGGCUCAUUCCCAGCUGGAGCAUUAAAGAAAGCCUGGAAGAUGAUAAAGAUUAAGUGACACAAUAGUCUCAAACAUGAGAGGAAGGAAGAUGAACUUUAGGAUAACAUGUUUCUGUGUUGCAAGCAGUACUGACCUUGUACCAAGUCAAGGGCUGCUUUGUUGAUGCACCUCCCCACUCAACUGAAGAACUGCCACUAAGUGUAUGGAUGCUCAGGGAUUCACCUCUCAGGCCGAUCUACACACACAAACAUGGAACUCAGUAACCAGUAAGCAAGUUUUAGUCAGAGACUAAUGUAGGUAGGAAGAGUUGAUUGGAACCUGGUAAAUCCAUUUCUGUGAUGAAAGGUCUCUCUUUCCUUCAUUGAGACCUUCCAGAGUCACUGGACCAAGAACACCAGCAUUCCAUGUCUCAAAGUGGUUGCCAACAUUCUGAAACAGAUCAGAGAACAGAAAUCUGAUGUCUCAACAGCCAUCUUGUGUGUAUAAUUGUACAGGGUUAUUUGUAUGAUAUUUCAACUUUUCGAUCAAUGGCCAGGAAAUAUUUCACAACAAAUUAUGUACUCACAGGA
rnacentral:lncRNA from 1 species